AUGGUGGGGGGAACCUUUCAGAAAUGCACAUUUCCAGAUGCCAACCACAGGCUGCUCUGGUCAGCAGGCCUUUCUAAUGAGAGUGGACUAAGGCCUUCUGUAUUAGCUCUGCCUUGUACACACUUUGGGCCAGGAGGUCUGUGGCCUCCCCUGUCUUCCGGCCCAAAAGGGUUGGUGGAAUCCACAGAUGCAGAACCUGCAGAUAGAGGGUGGACUCUUUCGUUUGUUCAAGCAGCCUUUAUCCCAUUAUCACGCAUAUUACGGACUGAUUUUGCGUAUUUGGUUAGUGCAACCGUUUGGACAACUCUGCGGGCCCUCUUUAUGUCCCGCCAUUCUUACCCCUGCGCUUUGCUUCUCUGCAAGCCCCUGCCUCGUUGUCCGUUUGCAGCCACUGCAUUGAUUUCACCUUCCUAAGAGAGAGGGUGGACAGGAAGAUUCACAGCGGUGUCAGGAGGGUGUUGGUGUUUAUUUGUUUGGGACAGGGUCUCACUGUACAGUUCAGGUUGGCCUCAGAUUCAUUAGACAGCCCAGGCUGGGCUUGAACUCACUGUAACGCUCUGCGUGCUGGGAGUGCAGGUGUGUACUGUGAGGCCAGGCAGGAGGGUAUUGCACAGAUACGAUGAAAAUAGUCUUACCGACAGAGAGUAACUGGAGAACGAAAAAGCUUUGAGUGAGAGGGUACUGUGUUCUGGAAAUUGUGUCCAUAAAUAAAUUAAGGCUGUGUACCUUGAGAAAAUCACCCCAAAGGCAAAGAAAAACAAGAAAGAGAAAAUUAAGAAUAAAUCAGUUUUCCAGUAGACAACAUAAUACAGGUUGAGCAUCCCUAAUGUGACAAUCCAGUCUGUUCUGGACUUUGGAGCUUUUCAGAUUAAAGAUGUUCAACCUGUAAAUUGUAUGUAAAAAUUCCAAAAUCGGGAAAAUUCUAGAAUCUAGAACAGUUCUGGUCCCCAGCAUUUCUGAAAAGUGAUUGAGAACUGCAGAAGUGCCAGAGUGGGGAGCAGGAAUACUGAGAAAGAAAGCAGUUAUCAAAGAAACAGCACCCGAGCGUUUCCUGCCAGGGAGGAGCCCCUGGACCCUCACUUCCGUCUGUGGAGCCUGGACCCAGUGAGUUCUGUCUGCAGGAUGCGUGUGGGUCGGGGGCACCCUGAGGGCUCCUGCCAGGUGCACCCUGCUGA
rnacentral:lncRNA from 1 species